UGACAUACUGCUAGGAAGCUGGGCUUGCAAGGGGAAAAGCCAAUGGGUACAAGCUCGACAAGUCUCAUAUCUUUUCAGUUAACAUGCUUGAUGACUUUGAGAAAUACAUGAAGGUUCCUGACACAUGGAUGCCUGCAGAAAUAAAGCCAUACACUCCUGGAGUGGUCUAGACACUGAGGAAUUGGCCAUUAUGAAUAGUACCUUCCAUGAGAGGCUAGCUGUAAUCAAAAUCCCAACUACAUAUUGCAAUCGCCAGUAAUUUGGCGAGGUUUAUUGUUGUCAGUCUCAUGGACAUGUGGGAUGGUAAACAAUUUCAUCAAUUGUUGCGUGUGGAUGCGAGAGUUCUGAGGAAAUGGUUGGUCAUAGAUCUACUGAAGUGGUUAUGGAACGAGAGCAAAGAUAACAUUCUUGAAGAUAUAGCCGGAGCUCUAAAGACCAUAUGUAACACCUGCGUGGAGAAAUAUAUCUAGAUAAAUUAAUCGCAUACCAUGGCUGAUCUGAGAAAGAAAUAUGGAUGGAUCUUGCUACAUUUUUUAAGUUGGUCAUAUUUUAAAUUCCCAUAUCAAUCAAUAACCAACAAUAAUGGAUUGAGACAAGUUCUUAUGCUACAUUAUUAUUGUUAUUAAUUUUAUUUUAUUGGAUUUUACGAUUUAUAUAUUCUUGAUUUGUCUA